ACAACGUGGAUUUUCAAUUUUUAUCAGUUUUGUAUGGUACCAGUUAAAAAGAACAGUGAAUGACCAAUAUGGUUAAAUGCUUGAUGACAAGUCAUUUUACUAUCCGACCAGUUCAGUGCAGAGGAUGAAAUUGUUGACGAUAUGUGUUUUUCCAUCGCAAAGAGGUAUUCGUGUACCCAGACAAUGACAACAAACAUGAAGUUGGUGAAGGUCUCGAUAAGAAAGCUGAGAUCACUUUGAACUGUGUUUGGCCAAGAGAUAAAUCUGUUUGAACUCUGGUUAAGAGUCCUGAGAAGUUGAAGGCAAUGAGAUGACAAGACAAGAUAAGAAGAGAUUUUUCUUAAAGUCAGUGCCAUGUUUAUUAACUACAGACCUGAGGUGAAACAUUUCUCAAAGUGUGGUCUAGUUGAUGACUCGGAUGAGGAAGAUAUACUGGACACCAGAACAGGACAAGACAAGAAACGUUUGCAUCUGGCACAGCAGCAACAGAUGGCGGACAGAGGGGGAGAAGCCUACAAACACUGGAGGUCAGAAACACAGUACAAAACACGCAGAAACCAGCUGGAAUGUGCACCUACAGAAAAUCAACAUUUCCGACCAUAUACAGUCUGCAGAUAAAACUAUCAUACAAAAUCAUCGUGAGAUGUUAGAGAUCCAGUUGGUGCAUUCGAGAAGCACAAGGGAAGGUAACUGCCCUGUAUUUACACCAUCAGUGGGUGUGGAGGCACUGCAUCAAUACAGAUGAACUCGAAAUAUUAGGUAAGAUAAUUGUCGGAAUCAUUAAUUUAGUUCUAUAUACAAUAAAAUCUGUUAGAAGAUCCUUUCGAAGCACAGAACACAACCAAGCAAAACAACAGCAGUCUUGGUUUGACUGACUCUGUUCAUAAGAGGUAAUGAAAUGUGCAACAGCUCAUACAUGUCUCUGAAACCCA